GUCCCCAUCGUCUAGAGGCCUAGGACACCGCCCUUUCACGGCGACAACCGGGGUUCGAAUCCCCGUGGGGACGCCA
rnacentral:tRNA from 2 species